AACGAACGCUGGCGGCAUGCCUAACACAUGCAAGUCGAACGAGACCCUUCGGGUCUAGUGGCGCACGGGUGCGUAACGCGUGGGAAUCUGCCCAAAGGUUCGGAAUAACUCAGGGAAACUUGAGCUAAUACCGGAUAAUGUCGCAAGACCAAAGAUUUAUUGCCUUUGGAUGAGCCCGCGUAGGAUUAGCUAGUUGGUGGGUAAAGACCUACCAAGGCGACGAUCCUUAGCUGGUCNGAGAGGA
rnacentral:rRNA from 1 species